UACGUAGGGGGCAAGUGUUGUCCGGAUUCAUUGGGCGUAAAGAGCGUGUAGGCGGCCAGGUAGGUCCGUUGUGAAAACUCGAGGCUCAACCUCGAGACGUCGAUGGAAACCAUCUGGCUAGAGUCCGGAAGAGGAGAGUGGAAUUCCUGGUGUAGCGGUGAAAUGCGCAGAUAUCAGGAAGAACACCUAUGGCGAAGGCAGCUCUCUGGGACGGUACUGACGCUGAGACGCGAAAGCGUGGGGAGCGAACAGG
rnacentral:rRNA from 1 species